UUCAAUUGGAUUCAGUCUUCGAUUUUAUGGUUUCGAUUGGCCUCACGUCUUGCUGUUCCCGUAAGUAGAUUUAGUACCCCCUGGGCGUUCGCCAAGGACCAUGAGGAAGAGUGGGCUGGUGGUGGAGGAGAUAGCGGCCAAAGAGGGUGGUGAGAGUGUGAGCGGCCGCUGGGUUUCAGGGAGGACAAUGGUGAAGAAGGGAGGGAUAUCAGGAAGUCGUUCCUGCAUACUGGGAGCUGGUACCGGAUGGGUUCCAGGCAAUCCAGUAUGAUGGGUUCGUCUCAGGUCAUGAGAGAUAGCUCCAUUUCUGUAGUCGCUUGUGUUCUGAUUGUCGCUUUGGGUCCUAUCCAAUUCGGCUUCACUUCUGGAUAUUCUUCUCUGACUCAAGCAGCAAUCAUCGUUGAUCUUGGACUCUCAGUGUGAGAGUAUUCUCUUUUUGGUUCUUUAUCAAAUGUGGGUGCCAUGGUGGGGGCUAUAGCCAGUGGUCAGAUUUCUGAGUAUAUUGGGCGCAAAGGGUCUUUAAUGAUCGCCACCAUUCCUAAUGUCAUCGGCUAGCUUGCCAUAUCAUUUGCC